UUCCCCAAUCACAACAGCCGCCAGAGCCGCCGCGCCUCUCCUUCCUCCUCGCCGCCCCCUGUCGCGCGCGCAUCCCUCGGAUCAUCGUGCCCAACUCCCCUUCGUGUUUCUCCUCCUCCCAGAACCACAUCCCGUCGCUUAGGCUCCUUGGUGGCGGCCGGCUCGAGGCGAGCCUGGCGCAGGCAGGGAGAAGCAGCGGGGCGGCGGAUGCGGGCGGGAGAGUGCCGGACGGCGCCGUCAUUGUCGCCCCGCCAAGACGCAUCGAAGAAGGACCAGGAUCUCACCCGCGUCCCUUCUGGAUGCACCUCCCCAGUGAUUUCCUCCUGCCUAAUUCAGCUCCCCUUUCCAUCUAAUUUCAUUCUUGUUUCACAUGUUGGUUUGGUUGGCAAGAGACGUUGCGCCGCCGACUACAGUAGCCAGGGUUGGCGUUGGUGAUGUCUGUAGUAUUUUCGUCCUCGCCAGUCACACAAUUCCUAAGUUUGGUCAAUAUACUUAUCUUUUGAUUUCUCCUAUAUUUUCCUUCCUGAUUUUGUUUGAUGAUUUGCUAGGUUAUGGGACUAGAUCUCCAUUUUCCAAGAUUCUUAGCUGAUAAGUAUAUUGUGCGGGAAAAUCUCUACUGAAUGAAAAAUCCAAGCAAUGUAAGUGACCUAACAUUUCACUGGUUGUAUGGUACAUCUCAUACAAUUUCUGAAUUCCGAUACCGUUCCUGUGUAGCUGGAUACUCCAUGGGACAAAGUUGAAGCUUUGUACAUCACUUCUCUACCUGUUUAUUAAUGUUUCUUCAUGUUUGGCAGUGAUCGGGGUUUCCAUGUACUUGAUAGAUGCAUUCCUUAUCUUUAUGUGUUCCAUCUAUGUAUAUAUGUUUCUGCCCAUAAAUGUAUUUAUGAGCUUGCUCCAUUUUUACUGCUUUCCUAUGUCAAUUUGAAAAGUACCCUUUAUUCCCCUGAAAAGGGCUAUACAUGCAUUUAAACGAGUGCACAUUUUCUAUGAACAUAAGCAUUGUCUUUACCCCACUGCUCUCUGGUGUGCAGCGACUAAGAUUUCAUGCUCAACCUCCCUCACGGCCCCAGGUUCGGCUACUUUCCAGUUUUGUUAGUUUUCUUCUUGGUAGCACUGAACACCAUGGAAACAUGGGUGCCGUGGCCACACACAUGCAUUUUGUCAUCCUCCUUAAAAUUCAAUUAGAUUAUAUGCAAACAUGCAGCCGUGUUUACUUAAGAUCCAAUUAGAUGAAUGUUGUUUAUUUUUCCAUAUAGUUUCUAUUUAGAAAGGCCUCAUAUGCAAGUUGGGGACAUGCCGUGAACAUAUGGUUUUGUGAUCUAUGGUCUUGAGUCAUAUGUUGGAUGGGUGAUAAUGGAAAUUUUCUUGAGGAUAAACCCGUGCAUAAGUUUUGUGAGAGUUAAACCUGUUUUAUGAGAGGUAAAGCUGUUUUUUGAGAGUUAAACCCGUGCAUAUGAAUGUAUUUUGUUUAGAACUGGUCAAACUAUUUUUUGUGAGAGUUAAAGUUGUUUUCUGGAGGACAAACCCGUGAAUAAGUUUCUCAUCUGUAUAGAUUAAUUAAUAGGAUGGCAAUUUAAGUUUAUUGGAGCUCUUUUUAAGAAGUGGGGGUCUGCUUUGGUUUCUUGCUGUUUGCAUAUUCUCUUAAAAACACUUGACUGACUGUAGCUGACUGUUUAUACAUCAAUAAUAUGGGCAGUUGAAUAUGGCGUUUUCAAGUGAAGGAUUUCAAAAAUCUAAUAUGGCAUGCCUAUUUUACAUGGAAAAACAAAUGGUACCUUAUUUACUAUUUAGUUUUUAAGCAAGACUAAUUUGACUACACGCGUCCUGAGGUGCCUUCUGUUUUGGAAUAGUCAUAGAAUGCUCCUUAUUACGAGAUGUUCCUUUGUCACUAUUUGAAGUUCUGCCUUGGGUGGCCUUUGUCUUAGUUUAUAGCUUCAUAUGGCUACCUAUGUAUAACAUAUGUAUGUUCUGUUUGAACCGUCUCAAAUCACAUAGAGAUGUUAAAUUUUCAAUUUGUUGCCUCGCGGUCGUGUGCCAUCACCAUGUUUACUCCAGAAAGUGGAAUGUGCAGAGUUUCUGUGUUGAUUAGUCAAAUAUUUGCUUUGCCUUAAAGACUGUCCCCAUCUAUGUUCCAGGUUGUGGCAACACUGCAGAUAUGCCCAUUGCCAUCGAGCAUUUCUAUUUAUAUGCUUCUACAGAGUAUUUGGUUUUUGUACUGUACACUUGAUGAAAUAAUUUCCUUAUAAGCUGGGACAAGGCAUUUGUAGUUGAUAUUUGUACUAUAAGCUCAAUUUUUUUGGUUCAUCUCAUCUCUGGUUAUUUUUUCGUUUUUUGUGUUUCUGCAGCAUAUUAUCAUUAGCAUAUAAAACCUCUUAUAUUUCUUGUUUUCGACAAUUAUUCUUUGGCAGGGAAGACUAUGAUAACACUAAGAUUAUCAGGAAAGGAUUCAGGGCUUUUUUUGAAUCCAGAUUAUCACACAUGAUGCAAAAUUAACAACCACGACUUUGAAAUAUGGAUGAUGAUGCUUAUUAUGUGCUAGAAAUCAAAUAUGUAAAGGAGAAGAUAAUGUUUGUGAAGGAGAGGGGAGAGAGAUACGGGUUGAUUCUGGGUAAACUUUGCUUAAUUUGUUGGAGAAAAUGCUUGAUAGAUCUCAUGGAUGGAUGAGGUUGUGGCAGUAGUUCUCGGGUGCAAUAUCUAUCUUGAUAGAGUGAUCAACCAGGGCACAUUAGAAGCAGAAGAAGAGGAAAUGUUUGGGCCGUCUAUGGCGUUGAAGAUUCAGUGUUUCUGUCUUGUGUACAUGCACGGCCAGUUCAGUAACUAGAUGGCCUUUUCUACUGUACUGGUGCUGCUACUUUUCACAUGCUAGCUUCUUUGGAAAGCGCCAACAGUGUGUACAACAUGUAAAGAGUCCAUCUUGAAGGAACGGAAGCAGAAGUAUGGAGCUGAUGUAUUAAUGGUCAAUCAAGGAAUUCAGUCUCGAUGAGCUUAACUAAUGAUGUGUGAGUUGAGCCUUAGGUCAUUUUCAAAGUAACGGAAGUACAAGAGAUUACUUGAAAAUACACAUUUUUUCAAUGCGACAUGGUCUUAAGUGCGAUUUUAUACCACCAAAUUAAAAUGUGGUAUAUCUCAUUGUAGACAACAAGCCUACAUUUUUAUUUUAUUUUAUUAAAGGGGUUAAACUUGUUAUC